GCCUGCAGCCCUGAGAGUCUGAAUAUGCAACGCAUAUGCUAAGUGGGGCGUGGCCUCCGGGCUGGACGGGAACGCCCCGCCGCUGGCCCCGCCCCUCCCGAGACCAGAUGGCUCCGCGGGUGCGUGGUUAUUUAGGAUGACGAGCAGCACCCCCUCCUCUAGAAGAUUAAGAAUCUUGGUGCUUGGUUUUGCCCAGGGGAUUCCAGAAGAGGGCGGCUGCCUAGGGGUGUGGUCUCUAGAUCCUGAAGAAAUUGGAAAGGGAAGGAGUCCUUCUUCAGGCGAUGUUUAUACAGACAGAUCCUGGGAUUUGCAGUCCUAGGCAGCCAGAAGGAGCAGAAGUGGGAUGUGAAGGCCAGAAGCCAGUCCUGAUUCCACAAAGAGAUAAACUCCGGCCACAGCAGGAACAGGUUAGCUAUGGAUUGUUUUAGAACUUCACAAAGCAAUUCCUGGAUUUUUCCCACUGUCAUUCUCUGCUUAUUUGGAUUUUUCUCCACAAUGAGACCAUCAGAACCAUUCCUUAUUCCGUAUUUAUCUGGACCCGAUAAAAACCUGACCAGCGCAGAGAUCACAAAUGAGAUCCUUCCCGUGUGGACCUACUCCUACCUGGCGCUCCUGCUCCCCGUGUUCGUCCUCACCGACUAUGUCCGCUACAAGCCGGUCAUCCUCCUGCAAGGCCUUAGCUUCAUCGUGACCUGGCUGCUCCUCUUGUUUGGCCAAGGGGUAAAAGCCAUGCAAGCUGUCGAGUUCGUCUUUGGGCUCGUCUCGGCCACCGAGGUGGCCUACUAUGCCUACAUCUACAGCGUGGUUAGUUCUGAACACUAUCAGAGGUUGAGCGGCUACUGCAGGAGUGUCACGCUGGUGGCCUACACUGUGGCCUCUGUGCUGGCGCAGCUCUUGGUAUCCUUGGCGAACCUGUCAUACUUCUACCUCAAUGUCAUGACCUUGGUCUCUGUCUCUGUGGCCUUCUUAUUCUCGCUGUUUCUACCAAUGCCUAAAAAGAGCAUGUUUUUCCAUGCAAAACCCAGCAGCGAAAUUUCUCCAAAGCCACUGGGGAAGGAUGCCGACCUUCAGGAGGCUCAGGAGGAUCACGGAGCAGUUCAGCAGAAAUCAUCCAGCUUUCCUGGGAAUCUGGGAGACAGCCCUAUGGGCAGCUGGAAGUCUGAAAAUGUGGUUUUGAGGAAUUUUGUGCAGUGGUUCCAAGAUCUCAAGGAGUGCUACUCUUCAAGGCGUCUUUUUUACUGGUCCCUGUGGUGGGCUUUUUCUACAGCAGGUUUUAAUCAAGUUUUGAAUUAUGUUCAAAUCCUCUGGGAUUACAAGGCACCAUCCCAAGACUCCUCCAUCUACAAUGGGGCAGUGGAAGCUAUCGCAACGUUUGGAGGGGCUCUGGCUGCCUUUGCAGUGGGCCAUGUGAAAGUGAACUGGGACCUCCUGGGAGAGCUGGCCCUCGCAGUCUUCUCGGUUAUCGGCGCUGGCUCUCUCUUCCUUAUGCAUUACACCCUCAGCAUCUGGCUGAGCUACGCUGGGUAUUUGAUAUUCAAGUCCAGCUACAUGCUUCUGAUCACCAUAGCAGUAUUCCAGAUUGCAGUUAAUCUGAGCAUGGAACGCUAUGCCCUGGUGUUCGGAAUCAACACCUUUAUCGCCUUGGCGAUUCAGACCAUCAUGACUAUGAUUGUGGUAGAUCCCAGCGGGCUCAACCUGGCAAUCAGUAUUCAAUUUUUAGUUUACGGGAGUUAUUUUGCUGUCAUUGCUGGAAUUUUCCUAAUGAGAAGCAUAUACAUUCUUUACUCAGUCAAAUGCCGGAAAGAAGUAGAGAGACUACCUACAAUUCAGAGCCUGCCUAAGCCACACACAGAGGAGCCGGUUAAUACCAUCCUGUCAACAAAGCUCUGACUUUAUUAUAUCAGGACAGUGGUUUUCAAAUCAGUGACUAAAAUGGGAAGAUUUUCAGAUGGAUGCACUGACAUGUUCUACAAGCUGGAUUCCAAGAACCUUUCUAAAAAUACAACAGAACCUUCGCUUUAGACCAUGUAUCUAUGUGCCCAAUCGAAUUUGUGUGCAGCUGGUGGGGCCCAUUCACAGUUAAAGAACACAUACUGGAAACCCAAAUGCUUAGAAAACUCUAGUUUGAUAACUUCUAAGAUCCUGCAAAGAGCACAGAAACAAACCAAGGAAAAACACCAGCCAUCGGUGGUGGACUUCUGCCCUCUAGUGAAUGGGAAACCUAAUUGAACCGACCCUGCGCUUGAUCUGGAUGUUUCUUGUGCUCACAGGAGGCACACGAGCUAUUUUUCUUCCUCUCCCAGCAAGUAUGCUUCUAUGUUAACUUAUACUCUGAGAGAAUUACCAAAUCUGACCCCAUUUCUAAGGGCUCUUUCUCGCCUUUAUAAACAUUGCACUAUUCACCAGCUAUUGUUCAAUAUUGUAACUAUUUUUAUUUUUUAUAAUUAUUUUUCAUUUUGAGCUUUUUUGAGCUUUAUAUCACAACUACCUCAGGAAUGGCUGCGGAUGUUACUGCAUCACAGGAUGACCUGAGCUAGAAGAGGCAUCAUUAGCCAGGUCUUUUUCCCUCAUUGAAGUGACCUCUCACGUGUCCUGUUACAACCACGAUAAGAAAAUGCUCUGGGCUACUUGAUUUGUCUGUCUGAAAGGAUAAGGUUCCCCCGUCAAAGCCUGGAAGAGGAUGAGUGUGGAACAGCACUGAUUAGAAGCUUAUGUGUGGCAAGAUGGGGGAGAGAUCAGCCUGCCAGGCAAACAGAAGUUGGGUACAGUUGCACUUCCGACAGCUCUGGAGUGAGAAAGAUUAAGUCAAAGCAAACGGCCAGUCCAAAGUCAGUCCAUGAGCUCUGCUAGAACCUUGAUUCACCUUCUAUGAAAUUCAGGGGUGGUUGACCUUUAACACUGACUCCUAACACCUCUGAUUAAUAUCUGCAGCUCUACACAUUUCUUCUAUCCCUGGAAAUGUAAGUUCUGUAGAAUGAUACCUUCUGUUCAAGCAGUUGAUGUUUAAGUGUUCAGUAUAGAAAUUUAACAAUGAUCUCUGGGUGCCAAGUUUUAAGGAUCUAGUACAUCAUGAAAGAUGGCUCAACCUGAAACACGUGUGACCAGGCUGUGACGUGUGUCAGAGAGGACUGCUGAGGCUGACAACAUCACUUGUGCCCUUGCGGUGAAAUUAGAUACCUGCUGUAUUUAAAAAUGUCACAAUGGGUUCCGGAAUUCCGUUGCACCCUGUGAUGUUAGCACAGUAACACGUAGGGCUAAUAUACAUUUUUAAUCUUAUUGCCUAAUUGUCUCGAUUCUUUUUUUCACUGUAAUUCUGAUCAUUUGAUAUAACUAUUGAGAUCAAGAGACGGAGGGAUGGGAGAGAGGAGAGGAAAAAGGGUGAAAAACAGGAAUAAGAAUGUGUUGUGUGCAAGCACCGACUCUACACAAGACGUGUAAACAUUAUGCGCUGCAAAAAUGGACUAAUAAAGAUUUUUAAAACUUAAAAAUUCAAAUAGAUACAAACACCUUUAUAUAUAUUCGUAUCUAGAGUAACACAAACUGCUUCCACCGCUGCUUAUUUAGGUCUUUUAAAAAAUGCCAUUUAUUGAUUUCUAACAUUUUCUGGCAGUGUGUUUUUUUAGUUAUCUGGUUAGAGCUUAGAAACAAGACAGUUAAGAAAGUGAACUCAUACCAGCAUGUUCUCCUUUGGAAUGGAAACUUUUAAGAGAAAGUGGAAAUUAAUUUUUAAAGCGGGGUAAGAUUUUCCUCAUUUCUAAUAAACUGCUGGCUCCUAACCACAAUUACUGCGGUGAGUCAAAAUUGACCUUUUUUAUUUCUGAGUGUUUACAGGGGGAAAAAAACAUUUUAACUAACAGCUCUCACUUCUAGGGUAUUUUACAGACCAUGUACAAAAAUGCCUUUGUAUAUGAUGAACAAAUGAGACAAUGAAUAAAAAGGAUGAUCCCACAAGGCCAAGCAGCUUGUGAUGUAACAACUGUGUGCCAUGCUCAGAAUGUUCGCACACCCACUCCUAGUAAACUGACUGGGUGGUGCAGAGCUAAGCCACGUUUUUAGUGAAGUUAACAAGGCGUCAGUCGGCAAUGGGCCUAGAAUGCAGUUACAUUUGAAAUGCAUCAGGCAGAAUACAUCUCACCACUAAUGCCUUCCCAAACUCUUGCUUCAUACUCCAAGCCAGCUGCAUGAAAGCAAUCACGUUCUAAUACCGAGUUCCAGACCACGCCAGGGCCCUUCUCAGCUCCUCUGUCUAAUCAGCAAGAUGGCGUUCACAUAGGAUUUGAUGGUUUUCUUAAAUAUGGGUAUGAUUUAGUUUAAGAAUUGAAAGAAUAAUUUCUAUAAAGGGAUGACAAAGAGUGUGACGUCGGUGUCAUCACAUGUUGCUUCAGGACCACGUGCUCUGUUCAAAGCCACCCUCGUGUAGACCUUGUCCAAGACCAGCCACAACCAACCACUUAUAGACAUCCCUUUACAGUACAUAAAGAUGCUUUUGGAAAAAGCACAGACCCUAGUACUUGGUCCCAGCCAGCCUUCGCAGACAUCAAUUCAGGCCAGUUCCGGUUUGGAGAGGUCAGUGUUUCAUGCAACAAUAAAUAAAAUGGAAGUAAAAAUAAUAUUUAACUCCUUGAAGGCUGAGAUAUGUAUUUUAUGUGUUGGUAUUAAAAUGCCUCACCACUAUGGAAAGUAAUUAGAAGAUGUGAAAAAAAAUCUACAGAUUUUGCCUACAAUUAUGGUAUAGUUUCCAGUAACUUAACAACUAAAACAAAUAAAAGUUUAUCAGUAGUAAAAUGUGCAAGAUUAUAGACAUAAAUUUAAUUGCCAAAUAUUGAAAGUACUUUUUUUGUAUCAAACCCAAAAGCUUGCCAGUGCUCUAUCCAACCCCUGAGUGCUAAGUUUUUUAAAUUACCUGUAAAAUGAAUAAAUGGAUCAGAUCAAGCAAUGCCUUCAUUUACUAUUUUUUAAAUGACUGCCAAGCAGCAUCUGAAAGCAGAUGAUGAUAGAGGCAUCUUUUGCAAGUUGUGUUCUUUGGAACAUUAGUGAAUAAUUUAAGUAACUGUUAAAAUGUGUCUCCAAAAUUUUACAAUGAUAUAUCUGUGAAGAAGUAUUUUUCAAGAGAAACACUUGCUAUUUACUUAUUUU